GGAUGCGAUCAUACCAGCACUAAAGCACCGGAUCCCAUCAGAACUCCGAAGUUAAGCGUGCUUGGGCGAGAGUAGUACUAGGAUGGUUAAGCGUGCUUGGGCGAGAGUAGUACUAGGAUGGGUGACCUCCUGGGAAGUCCUCGUGUUGCAUCCC
rnacentral:rRNA from 1 species